AACGCACCUUGCGCUCCUUGGUAUUCCGAGGAGCAUGCCUGUUUGAGUGUCUUGAAGUCAUCAACCUCUCCCGUUUCGUGCGGGCUGCCGGUUGGACGUGGGGGCAUGCUGCCGUGAGGUGGCUCCCCUCAAAUGCUUCGGUUGGACCUGUGGGUCGAACUCGACUGGGCGUUGUACCAUCCUCGCUCCUCCGAGACGUUCUCCACUUAUCGAGUCCUCCCUAGACCUGCCCGUAGGGUGGCGGUCAACAAAGCUCGACUUUGAAAUCUGACCUCAAAUCAGGUAGGACUACCCGCUGAACUUAA
rnacentral:misc_RNA from 1 species